UAAAAUACCAAACCUGGGGGUCCCGGUCUGUCAGUCUGCCCCCCUCCCAGGUUAUGUUAGUUAGGGCCAGGGUAGCCAAGGGUCCCGGUCUGUCAGUCUGCCCCCCUCCCAGGUUAUGUUAGUUAGGGCCAGGGUAGCCAAGGGUCCCGGUCUGUCAGUCUGCCCCCCUCCCAGGUUAUGUUAGUUAGGGCCAGGGUAGCCAAGGUCCCGGUCUG